rnacentral:autocatalytically_spliced_intron from 1 species
UAGCGCCGUAUACGAGACCCGUAUGUACGGUGCAACGGGAGGGGCAAAGAAUUAUUUUCUUUCCUCUACCCUAU